rnacentral:rRNA from 1 species
AUUGAACGCUGGCGGCAGGCCUAACACAUGCAAGUCGAGCGAGCGGCGGACGGGUGAGUAAUGUAUGGGGACUGCCCGAUAGAGGGGGAUAACUACUGGAAACGGUGGCUAAUACCGCAUACUAUCGGAUAACCCAUAUGGGAUGAGCUAGUGGGUGGGGUAACGGCUCACCAAGGCGACGAUCUCUAGCUGGUCUGAGAGGAUGACCAGCCACACUGGAACUGGGACACGGCCGAGACUCCUACGGAGGCAGCAGUGGGGAAUAUUGCACAAGGGGCGCAAGCCUGAUGCGGCCAUGCCGGGUGUAUGAAGAAGGCCUUAGGGUUGUAAAGUACUUUCAGCGGGGAGGCGUUACCCGAAGAAGAAGCACCGGCUAACUCCGUGCCAGCCGCCGCGGUAAUUC